rnacentral:rRNA from 1 species
CCCUUAGAUGUCCUGGGCCGCACGCGCGUUACACUGAUGCAUUCAACGAGCUUAUAACCUUGGCCGAGAGGCCUGGGCAAUCUUGUUAACGUGCAUCGCGAUAGGGAUAGAUUAUUGAAAUUAUUAAUCUUGAACGAGGAAUUCCUAGUAAACGCAGAUCAUCAAUCUGCAUUGAUUACGUCCCUGCCCUUUGUACACACCGCCCGUCGCACCUACCGAUUGGAUGGUCCGGUGAAGCCUCGGGAUUGUGGUUCUUGCCGCUUUAUUGUGGCGUGACCGCGAGAACUUGUCUAAACCUUAUCAUCUAGAGGAAGGUGUAGUCGUAACA